GAUCCUGGCUCAGGAUGAACGCUGGCGGCGUGCCUAAUACAUGCAAGUCGAACGCACCGAAAUUGGAGUUUACUCUAAUGGAAGUGAGUGGCGAACGGGUGAGUAAUACAUAAGCAACCUGCCCCUAUGCCUGGGAUAACUGUUGGAAACGACAGCUAAUACCGGAUAGGUUCAUUGAUGACAUCGUUAAUGAAUUAAAGUUGGGCAACAACACAAAGGGAUGGGCUUAUGGCGCAUUAG
rnacentral:rRNA from 1 species